rnacentral:misc_RNA from 1 species
GGCUUCUUGCAAAUCAGUGGAAUAGAGGCUGGGGUGAUGAUGGUUACUUCAAGAUUAGACGGGGGACGAAUGAAUGUGGGAUUGAAGAAGACCCUGUUGCGGGUUUGCCUUCGAGCAAAAACUUAAUUCGAAGCUAUGCUGGCAUGGAGGGAACCAGUGACACCGCACUAUGAUCUCACACCAUCCUAUAUAAAGAUAAUUAUAUUUAUGUUGUGAAGAUAUCGUCUUAGGGGACCUUCAUCCUUAGUUAUGUACCUGAUGAUUUCCUUGUUGCAUAUGUAAGA